ACGUCUUGUGCCUCGCUCGAUUCGCUCCCUUUCGCUGGACUAAUCUUGAGCUGGAUGCCCUCGGACUUUCACUCGCUUCGGAUUCGUCCGUAUGCUCUAAAAGACCGCACGGGUAAUAGACAAUAUAAAUCUUCAUCGUAUCAACGCUCUUUGAGUACGCUCUCAAUUCUAUAUUUCGCUUCCAUGAUUGAACAGCGUAAUUUAUCUGUUGACACAG
rnacentral:snoRNA from 1 species